rnacentral:rRNA from 1 species
UACGUAGGGUGCGAGCGUUGUCCGGAAUUAUUGGGCGUAAAGAGCUCGUAGGCGGUUUGUUGCGUCUAUCGUGAAAACCUGCGGCUUAACUGUGGGCUUGCGGUGGAUACGGGCAGACUUGAGUUCGGUAGGGGAGACUGGAAUUCCUGGUGUAGCGGUGAAAUGCGCAGAUAUCAGGAGGAACACCGGUGGCGAAGGCGGGUCUCUGGGCCGAUACUGACGCUGAGGCGCGAAAGCCAGGGGAGCGAACGGG